CGGGGCUCAAUGUCUUGUAAUUGGAAUGAUGGGAAUUUAAACCUCUUCCAGAGUAUCAAUUGGAGGGCAAGUCUGGUGCCAGCAGCCGCGGUAAUUCCAGCUCCAAUAGCGUAUAUUAAAAUUGUUGCAGUUAAAAAGCUCGUAGUUGAAUUUCUGCUGCUUUGUUUCUUUCCUUUGUGUUAGUUUCAUUGCGGCUUAUUUCGGUUUGCUUUUUGCUUUCCGGAUGAUUACUUUGAGAAAAUUAGAGUGCUCAAAGCAGGCUUUUGCCUUGAAUAGUUUAGCAUGGAAUAAUAAAGUAGGACUUUGGUUCUAUUUUGUUGGUUUUAGGUACCAAAGUAAUGGUUAAUAGGAACAGUUGGGGGCAUUCGUAUUUAACUGUCAGAGGUGAAAUUCUUAGAUUUGUUAAAGACGAACUACUGCGAAAGCAUUUGCCAAGGAUGUUUUCAUUAAUCAAGAAC
rnacentral:rRNA from 1 species